rnacentral:lncRNA from 1 species
AAAUUAUCACAAAAAUAUACUGAAUUGAAAAUUGGCAGGAUGAUGAGGCUUCCAGAAAAGCUAAUAUAAUUUCAGCUUACAUUAAUACAUUUUAUGGUACCCUGUUUGUUGGAAUUAAUAGCCCUGUUGUUCCCCUAUGAUGAUCAGACCACAGUUGGAAUAUUCUGUUCACCAGACUGAAAGGUCAGCAUUUUAAGAUGGGCAUAGUUGACUUAAGUGUGCCUAGGUAAAACUCUGGAAUGAUGAGAUGACAUGUCAUGUGCAUGCACUAGUUGAAGGAAUGGGUGAUAUUUUUCUCUUAGAUCAAUAAUAAAAAGACAAGUUGUUCUUCAUAUAAAAAAGGAAACAAUUUGAUUUAGGGGAGAGAAUAAAUUAGAAAAAGGUGAAUUUCAGAUCAGAAUAUGGAAGACAUUUAUAGCAAAUAGAGCUUAAUUGAAUGUAAAGUGUACAUUGUUAUGAAUUAGAUAUGUCAGGGAUAUUGUCAGAAGAGGCAUUAGUACUGAAUAGGAGGUUAGCACAAAUGUCUAAUGUUGAUGUAUCUUCACAGCUGAAUAACUGGGGAGGUUGGCAGUACAAAUGGAAUAUGUAUGUAAAUUACAUUUUAAUUUUUCUUGGAUUAUAGGUGCUUAUAAAUCAACAAAAUGGCAAAGUAUCUUAUACAAUCUAUAUGAUCUACUAGUGAAUGAGAUAAGUUAUAUAGGAAGUAGAGGAAAAUACUCUGCAGGAUUUCGUAACAUUGCUGUUAAGGAAAAUUUGAUUGAAUUGUUGGCAGAUAUUUGUCACCAGAUUUUUGUUGAAGAUACCAGAUCCUUGGAGAUUUCUCAGUCUUAUACUACUACACAAAGAGAAUCUGAUGAUUAUAGUGUACCUUGCAAAAGAAGGAAAAUAGAAGUAGGCUGGGAAGUAAUAAAAGAUUAUCUUCAGAAAUCACAGAAUGAUUUUGAUCUUGUGCCUUGGCUGCAGAUUACAACCCAGUUAAUAUCAAAGUAUCCUGCAAGUUUACCUAACUGUGAGCUGUGUCCAUUACUGAUGAUACUAUACCAGCUUUUACCUCAACAGCGACGUGGAGAACGGACACCAUACGUGUUACGAUGCCUUACAGAAAUUGCGCUGUGCCAAAGCAAGAAAUCAAACCUGGAAAGCUCUCAAAAAUCAGAUUUAUCGAAACUCUGGAUUAAAAUUUGGUCUGUUACAUUUUGUGGUAUAAAUUCUGUACAAAUCCAAACUGAAAACUUUGGCUUGCUUGGGGCCAUUAUUCAAGGUAGCUUAGUUGAGGUUGACAGAGAAUUCUGGAAGUUAUUUAUUGGAUCAGCCUGUAAACCUUCAAGUCCUGCAGUAUGCUGUUUGACUUUGGCACUGACCAUCUGUGUAAUUCCAGAAGUAUUAAAAACAAGAACAGAGCAAAAUGUAUAUGAAGUAAACAGAAGUUUUUCUUUAAAGGAGUCAAUAAUAAGAUGGCUCUUACUCCGUCAGUCAGAGGAUGACUUGGACAGUAAAGACCUUCCCCCAGUUCUUCAGAGUAAUUUUCCUCAUCUCAUAUUAGAGAAAAUUCUUGUGAGUCUCACUAUGAAAAACUGUAAAGCUGCAAUGAAUUUUUUCCAGUGUGUGCCAGAAUGUGAACACCACCAAAAAGAUAAAGAAGAGCUUUCAUUCUCAGAAGUUGAAGAACUAUUUCUUCAGACAACUUUUGACAAGAUGGAUUUUUUAAGCAUUUUGAAAGAAUGUGCUGUAGAAAAGUAUCAAUCCAGUAUUGGCUUUUCUGUCCACCAAAAUCUCAAGGAAUCAUUGAAUCACUAUCUUCUGGGAUUAUCAGAACAACUUCUAAACAAUUCAUCUGAGGUAAGAUUUUAAAGAACUAGUGCCUAUAUUUGAUUUCACUUUGCUAAGACUGACAGAAAGAAUUAACGGGACAGGACAGGUGCUAAGAAUGGUAAUAAUCUUGGUUUUGAAAACAAAAUGGUAAUCCUUGUGAACAAAUAGGAAAGUGUUAACAUGAAAAAAGGAAAACUGAAGAACAAUUUUGAGUAUGUCCCUGGUACCAGGAAUUCUGGUAGACUUUAUAAAUGAAUUGUUUGAGUAAGUUAGUGGGGAAUUAUAUAGGUUUGAGUAUAGGAAUUAUGUGAUGAAAUGAACCUCUCAGUACAAAUUAGGAGGUGUUAGAAACAGUAAAAGAAAAAGAUGUAAUUUUAAAAAAUUGGGCCGGGGAUUUAGCUCAGUGGUUCUGUUGCCUGCCUUGCAAGCGCAGGGAUCUGAAAAAAAAAUCUAGCAGUUAGGUGGCAUUUGAAGAGGGAAGAGUGAGUAAAAAAAUAUAAUAAAUUGACUAAGAAUUAUCUAGUUAUUAAAGGCCAUCUUGGAAUUUCUUGUAUGUGCCUUGUUCUCAUAAAAUCACAAACUCGUGUGUAAGUAUCUUGUAAAAACUAUUUCUUUCAAUAUGUAGUGUCC